UGGCUGAGUGGUAUAGCACUUGGCUUCCGAACCGAUUGGUCCCGGGUUCGAAUCCUGG
rnacentral:tRNA from 1 species